AAUGCCGGAUGUUCCAGUUGAUCGCAUGGUCUUCUGGGAAAGCUUUCGCGGUAUGGGAUGGGGUCGCGUCCUAUCAGCUUGACGGCGGGGUAACGGCCCACCGUGGCUUCGACGGGUAGCCGGCCUGAGAGGGCGACCGGCCACAUUGGGACUGAGAUACGGCCCAGACUCCUACGGGAGGCAGCAGUGGGGAAUAUUGCACAAUGGGCGCAAGCCUGAUGCAGCGACGCCGCGUGAGGGAUGGAGGCCUUCGGGUUGUAAACCUCUUUUAUCGGGGAGCAAGCGUGAGUGAGUUUACCCGUUGAAUAAGCACCGGCUAACUACGUGCCAGCAGCCGCGGUAAUACGUAGGGUGCAAGCGUUAUCCGGAAUUAUUGGGCGUAAAGGGCUCGUAGGCGGUUCGUCGCGUCCGGUGUGAAAGUCCAUCGCUUAACGGUGGAUCCGCGCCGGGUACGGGCGGGCUUGAGUGCGGUAGGGGAGACUGGAAUUCCCGGUGUAACGGUGGAAUGUGUAGAUAUCG
rnacentral:rRNA from 1 species